rnacentral:sRNA from 1 species
GUAUCUGAAGCCUGACGAGGAUGAGAACCUCCGGGGGCAAGAGGUUCGACUCGAGCGAAGCGAGAGAACGUUGCGUCAGCAACGGCCCGCAGUGGCAAGUAAUCCUCUGUCACCGGCAG